UUUGCUAUGAUGUUACGUUACUGCCCCAGUCUGAUUCAAAUGUGAUUGAUUCAGUAUUCUGAGACAAA